rnacentral:lncRNA from 1 species
AAAACAUAUCCAUUUAAAAUUCAAAAUAUAUUAUAAAAAAGAAAUCAAGAAAUUAGAUAAAUAGAGACAAAUUAAAAGCAGCAUUUCUUUAUUAAUAUACUUCUACUAAACAUCUUUAACAAAAGCAAAAAGGAAAUGAUAGCCAGGAAUUCAAUUCUGUCAUGUCAUUGCUCAGAGCUCAGUUCAAAGUUAUUGAUUUCAUUCCCUUCCGCGAGGAACGGCCUCCGGCAUGGAAAAAGCCGAACAAUUUUCUUCUAGUUUCGUACCGGGCAGCCUCGAGAUUUCGGGAUAAUACGGCGAGGUUAAUUCCGUCCAGUCAGCAACGGCACAGAGCAAACUUGCGGGGCUGUUUGUUAAUAGUUUGUGCAUUUUUUGUUUUCUAUUUUCCAAGAAGCAAA